AACGCAUCUUGCGCUCCUUGGUAUUCUGAGGAGCAUGCCUGUUUGAGUGUCAUUAAAAUUUCAACCAUAUUGAUUUGCUUCAAUAUGGACUGGAUGAUGGGAUUUGCAGGCCUUUCAAAAGGUCUGCUUUUCUAAAAUAAAUUAGUGGUGUCCAAGCAGAGACUACUACAGGUGUGAUAAAUUAUCUAUGCCUUUUGUAAAAACACUGCGCAAACUGCUUCAAAUCUCAUUGCUGACCAAUUUGACCUCAAAUCAGGUAGGACUACCCGCUGAACUUAA
rnacentral:misc_RNA from 1 species